rnacentral:rRNA from 1 species
UAGAGUUUGAUCAUGGCUCAGGGUGAACGCUGGCGGCGUGCUUGACACAUGCAAGUCGAACGGUAUGUGGCAACACAUAGAGUGGCGAACGGGUGAGUAACACGUGGGAACGUACCUUCUGCAGGGGGAUAACUGACCGAAAGGACAGUUAAUACCGCAUAAGACCGAGAGGAGAAAGGUGCAACAGCAUCGGCAGAGGAGCGGCCCGCGGACCAUCAGCUAGUUGGUGGGGUAAGAGCCUACCAAGGCAACGACGGAUAGCCGGCGUGAGAGCGUGGCCGGCCACAAGGACACUGAGAUACGGGUCCUACUCCUACGGGAGGCAGCAGUGCGGAAUUUUAGAUAAUGGAGGCAACUCUGAUCUAGCGACGCCGCGUGCAGGAAGAAGGUCUUCGGAUUGUAAACUGCUGUGGUAAGGGAAAAAUGCCAUGUAGAGUGGAAAGCUACAUGGAGGGAUGGUACUUUACUAGAAAGCCCCGGCUAACUACGUGCCAGCAGCCGCGGUAAUACA